UACAGAGGUCUCAAGCGUUGUCCGGAAUCAUUGGGCGUAAAGCGCGCGUAGGUGGCUCUAUAAGUCCGUUGUGAAAGUCAAAGGCUCAACCUUUGAAAGCCGAUGGAUACUGCAGGACUAGAGUACGGAAGAGGCGAGUGGAAUUCCUGGUGUAGCGGUGGAAUGCGCAGAUAUCAGGAGGAACACCAAUAGCGAAGGCAGCUCGCUGGGACGUUACUGACACUGAGGCGCGAAAGCGUGGGGAGCGAACAGG
rnacentral:rRNA from 1 species